rnacentral:lncRNA from 10 species
CUAACUAUUGCAAAAAUGCUGAUCUGGUGUGUGAGUAGCACAGGUUUAAGAGUUUGUUGCUCCUUAGCAUUGCAAAGAAGGGGAUUGUUUUAUCUGGCGCUGGAUUAGUCUCCAUUAUAUCUCCUCUUCUGUUUUAGCUAGGGAUUUUUAACAUGAUUGAGUUUUACCUAGUUUUCAAUGUUAGCAGCUGGGUAAACAUACUUUCUGCAACACCCUGGAUAAAAUGGCAAACUCCAGGGGAAAGUCUUCUACCUUUAGAUUAAUAAAAAAGACUUGCUCACAGCCCUGGUUGGGGAAUAGUAACACUUGAGAGCAUUUGAGGGGAAUCGUGUGUGCUGGCUGUGGAAAACGCAGCUGAUGACCAAAACAGGCAGCUGCCGUCCUGAGUGAGGCUGAUCGCCCUCAGAGAGUAGCUUCAAACUGUACUUAGCAAGAAUAACAGAGAACUGAGGUCAUCACUAUUUGAACUACCGUGGAGGAAGAGAGACGUGCUAGAAGAGACUUGGAGAACUGCAACUCAUAAGAAGGUUCCUGUGGACAGCGAUGGACACUCUAACCACCCACAGUCCUAGCCCAUUGGAGGAUGUUUUAGCACUUCUUUCUCCACAUAUGAUCACAGUGAAAUUGGAGGAACCAAAUUUUACCCUCAGAAGGCCUCAUUCCUACUUCCCCAAAGUAAAUUAGCUAUUUGAAUUUUCAUCCUUUCUACAUAAAAACUGUGCUGUAUCUCCACCUACUUUUUCUUCACUUCCUCCUCCCUUUAAGAAAAAAGACUGUUUUCCUUGACUGGACUUACUCCUGGGCUGAUCACCUCCACCUGCAUCCUCCAGAACUUGCUUAAUCAUCUGUAAGUUCUUCAUUUCCACUGAAUCCUUCUCUUCUGCCUACAUAUAGGCUCAGUUCUCCAUAAAAAUACCAUUAACAACAACUGAAGAGAAUUUUGAUCAAUCCCAACACCCCUUUCAAGGUAUCUUGAAUGUUCCUUUGUUCCCUUCUUCUAUAAUGACAUAAGAGCGCCACCUGCCCUCACUUCCCCACCAAGACCACAUUCUAGUGACCUCUGUCAUCGGGAUACUUACUAUCACACUGAACUAUACUUUUUGAACCCUCUGUAUUAUUUGGUACUGUUAACCAUUCCCUCCUCCAUGAAAGUCUCUUAUCUUCAGGCUCUGUCCAAGUUCAUCUCCUAGCUCUCUGUUUUACACAUACCCUUUCUGCAGGAUUUUCUUCUCCUGAGCCUUCAGCAUUCCUUAAGCAUCUGUCUUUGGUCUUUCACUUCACUUGCUUCUUACAUUAGCCACUAGCCGCAUGUGAUCAUUAAAUUUAAAUAAACUGAAAUUAGCCAGUCACUAAAGGCCAAAUAUUGUGAUUCUAUUUAUAAGAAAUGUCUAAAAUAGGCAAAUCCAUCAAGACAGAAAAAAACACUAGUGGCUGCAUAAAGCAGUGGAAGCUGGGGGAAGAUGGGGAGUGAUUGUUAAUGAAUACUGGGUUUCUUGUCAGGGUAAUGAAAAUGUUCCAAAAUUGACUGAUGGUUGCACAACUCUGAAUACACUAAAAAUCACUGAAUUGUGCACUAUAAAUGGGUGAAUUAUAUGGUACAUGAAUUACAUUCCAAUAAACCUGUUAUUAACAAUUAACAAUUCAGA